GCAUUGAUUCACAUAGGAUAAUGUGAAGCUCCAUCCAUGUUGCUGUAAAGGACAUGAUUUUAUUCUUUUUUAUGGCUGUGUGGUGUUCCGUGGUGUAUAUGUGCCACAUUUUCUUUGUUCAGUCCACUGUUGAUGGGUAUGUAGGUUGAUUCCAUGUCUUUGCUUUUUUGAAUAGUGCUGCGAUGGACAUAUGAGUACAUGUUGUCUUUUUAUUAGAAUGAUUUAUAUUCCUUUGGGUAGGUACCCAGGAAUGGGAUUGCUGAGUUGAAUGGCAGUUCUUUCUGUUUUAGGUUCUUUAGAAAUUUCCAAACUGCUUUCCACAGUGGCUGAAAUUUACAUUCCCCCCACCACUGUAUAAGCAUUCAGUUUUCUCCACAACCUCAUCAGCAGCUGUUAUUUUUUGACUUUUUAACAAUAGCCCUUCCAACUGUUGUGAGAUGGUUCUUAUUUUGGUUUUGAUUUGCAUUUCUCUAAAGCUCAGUGAUGUUGAGCAUUUUUUCAUAUGUUUGUUGUCCAUGUGUAUAUCUUGUUUUGAGAAUUGUCUGUUCAUGUCCUUUGCCCAUUUUUUAUGGGUUUUUUUGCUUUUUAAUUUGUUUAAGUUCCUUAUAGAUCCUGGCUAUGGGACCUUUGUAGGAUGCAUAGUUUGCGAAUUUUUUUCUCCCAUUCUGUAGGUUGUCUGUUUACUGUGUUGAUAGUUUCUUUUGCUGUGUAGAGGCUCUUUAGUUUAAUUAGGUCUUUCUUUUCAAUUUUUGUUUUUGUUGCAGUUGCUUUUGGAGUCUUCAUAUGAAAUCUUUGCCAGGGCCUAGAUUCAGAAUGGUAUUGCCUAGAUUUUCUUUUAGAGUUUUUAUAGUUUAAGGCUUUACAUGUAAGUCUUUAAUCCAUCUUGAAUGGAUUUUUGUGUAUGGUAAAAGGAAAGGGUUCAGUUUCAAUCUUCUGCAUAUGGCUAGGCAGUUAUCCCAGCACUCUUUAUUGAAUAGGGAGUCCUUUUCCCAUUACUUAUUGUUGACUUUGUUAAAGAUCAGAUGGUUUUAGGUGUGUGGCUUUAUUUUUGGGUUCUCUAUUCUGUUCCAUUGUUUUAUGUGUCUGUUUUUUUUUUUUUUCCAGUACCAUGCUGUUUUGGUUACUGUAGCCUGGUAGUAUAGUUUGAAGUCAGAUAGUGUGAUACCUCUGGCUUUUUUCUUUUUGCUUAGGAUGGUUUUGGGUAUUCAGGCUAUUUUUCAGUUCCAUAUGAAUGUUAGAUAUUUUUUCUAGUUCUGUGAAAAAUGUCAUUGGUAGCUUGAUAGGAGUAGCAUUGAAUCUGUAAAUUACUUUGAGCAGCAUGGCCAUUUAAAUAAUAUUGAUUCUUCCUAUCCAUGAGUAAGGAAUAUCUUUCCAUUUGUGUUGUUUCCGAUUUCUUCAGCAACAUUUUGUAAUUCUCAUCGUAGAGCUCUUUCACCUCCCUGUUGAGCUGUAUGCCUAGGUAUUUUAUUUCUUUUGUGGCUAUUGUGAAUGGGAUUGCAUUCUUGAUUUGGCUCUCAGCUUGGACGUUAUUGCUGAAAUGCUACUGAUUUUUUUGACAUUGAUUUAGUAUCCUGAAACUUUGCAGAAGUUGUUUAUCAGAUCUAGGAACCAUUGGGUAGAGAGCAUGGGGUUUUAUAAGUGUAGAAUCAUAUCAUCUGUGAACAGAGAUAGUAUGACUUCCUUUUAAUUUGGAUGCCUUUCAUUUGUUUCUCUUGCCUAAUUGCUUUGGCUGAAAUUUCCAGUACUAUGUUGAAUAGUUGUGGUGAGAGUGGGCAUGCUUGUCUUGUUCCGGUUUUCAAGGGAAAUGUCUCUAGCUUUUGCCUAUUUAGUAUGAUGUUUGCUGUGGAUUUGUCAUAACUGGCUCUUUUUAUUUAAGGUAUGUUCCUUCAAUGUCUAGUUUGUUGAAAAUUUUUAACACAUGUUAAAUUUUAUCAAAAGCCUUUUCUGCACCUAUUGAGAUGAUCAUAUGGUUUUUGUUUUUAGGUUUGUUUAUGUGUUGAAUCACAUUUACUGAUUUACAUAUGUUGACCCAACCUUGUAUAACAGGAAUAAAGCCAUUUUGAUCAUGGUAGAUUAGGUUUUUGAUGUGCUGCUGGUUUUGGUGUGCUAGUGUUUGUUGAGGAUUUUUACAUCUAUAUUCAUCAGGGAUAUUGGUCUAAAGUUUUCUUUUUUCGUUGUGUUUCUACAAAGUUAUGGUAUCAGAAUGAUGCUAGCUUCAUAGAAUGAUUUGACGAGGAGUCCCUUCUCAUUUUUUGGAAUAGUUUAGUAGGGUUGGUUUCAGCUCUUCUUUAUAUGUUGGGUGGAAUUUGGCUGUCAAUCUAUCUUUUCCAGGACUUCUUCUGGGUGUAGGCUUUUUAUUACUGAUCAAUUUUGAAAUUCACUAUUGGUCUGUUCAGGGUUUCAAUUUCCUUCUGAUUCAAUCUUGGGAGGUUGUAUGUUUUGAGGAACUUAUCCAUUUUUCUCUAAGAUUUCUAGUUUGUGUAGGUAGAGGUGUUCCUAAUAGUCUCUGAGAGUUUUUUUUUUUUAUUUCUGUGGGGUCAGUUGUAAUGUUCACUUUGUCAUUUCUGAUUGUGUUUAUUUGGACUUCUUUCCUUUUUUCUUUAUUUGUCUAGCUAGUGGUCUGUCAAUCUUAUUUAUUCUUUCAGAGAACGACGUUUUGGUUUCAUUGACCUUUUGUAUAGUUUUUCAUGUCUUAGUUUUGUUCAGUCAGCUCUGAUUUUGGUUUUUUCUUCUGCUAGCUUUGGGGUUAGUUUACUUUUUUUUUUUUUGGUUGCUCUAGGUGUGAUUUUAGGUUGUUAAUUUGAGAUCUUUCUAACUACUUGAUGUAGGUGUUUAGUGCUAUAUACUUUCCUUUGAAGACUGCUUUAGCUCUGUCUCAGAGAAUCUGGUAUGUCAUUUCUUCCUUUUCAUUAGUUUCAAAAAAUUUAUUGAAUUCUGUCUUAAUUUCAUUGUUUACCCAAAGUCAUUCAGGAACAGAUUGUUUAAUUUCCACAUAAUUAUAUGAUUUUGAGAGAUCUAUUCUUGUACUGUGGUUAA
rnacentral:lncRNA from 1 species